GGAGAGAAGGCCAUUCUGAGGUCAACUGAAACCUCACUUGAGGGGCAGUUCCGUAGAUGGGAAUGAGGAGAGAGUCAUGGCCACAGCCACCUGGCCAAGGAGAGAGGCCAUAACUGCCAGACAGAACCAAGGAUGGAGGGACUUCAGCAGCACGAACAAUCCACACUCAGCAUGGGUCACUCUCUGGGACACACAUUUCCCUCUGGCUGAAAGGCUGAGCUGCUCCAGGGCCAACUGUGAGGUCAGACAGCUGCCCAGGGAUGUCUCCAGCCACUCAAGGGAAGAAGAGACCACUCACCUGUAAUUUCAACAGCAACAAAAGACCUGAGGUUCCACCAUCAGAACUUCACGCCCUAAGGAAGAUGCAGCAUUUCCUGUAAAAUGCAAGUGCUCCCAGGCAGAGGUAGCUCCCGAAGCCAUGAUCAGUUAUGUAUACCUUAGUGGCAGCUGAUUAACAGACUCUUCCCCAGAGCCAGCUGACAGGAAGCACAUCGGGGUAAAAGGGAAGAUGAAAACUUGGGUGCCUGGAGGAAGGGAACAAAUGCGAGCAGGAGCAUGAGCCAGAAUUGAUUUCGUGGCUUUCUUUCUCCUCUUCUGGGAUUUUGUGCCCUAUUGCCACAGAAACCCUGGGCCCCUUCCCCAGCUGUCAUGAAGGUGCCUGAGUGAUGGUCAGAGAGAUGACCGGAGGGGCCCACCCGGCCACCGCAGCAGCAGCAGCCAAGGCGGGACUAAGCCUCCACACCCCACAUCUCAGUCGUGGCCAGCCCGGGAUGCCUGCCUCUCCUGCCCUGUGGUGUUGCUGUCCUCAUAUGACCCUUCAGUCCCCCGACAUCUGGACAGGCUUUAGGGACCUGCUUGAGCAGAACAUGGUAGAAGUGAUGGACUGGGGCUUCUGAGGCUAAGCCAUAAGAAGCCUUGAGAAUUUCACCUGGCCCUCACUGUCUCUGGGAGCCCUGAGCCAUGAUAGAAGAAGUCCUUCCUAUAUUGAAUGUCCUUGAGACCUCCAGUACUGGAAAGGGCAUUUGUAGAUGCUCAGACCAACAGUCCAAACUGAGCCCAGUCUGCCAACUUGCCCUGCCAAGGUGUCAGAUGCAUAUGUGAAUGAGACCAUCCUAGACCUGCUGAUAGCCCAUCACCCGGCUGACUGCUACUGAGUAACCUCUGCCAACUUCACGCCGAACACAGAACUGCUGAUUUGAACUCUGCCUGAAUUUCUUGGCCCACAGAACAAUGAGAU
rnacentral:lncRNA from 10 species